UCCGGUUUAUCACCGGCAGUCUCCACAGAGUCCUCGCCAUUACGCGUUAGUAACUGUGAACAAGGGUUGCGCUCGUUGCGGGACUUAACCCAACAUCUCACGACACGAGCUGACGACAACCAUGCACCACCUGUGAACCGGCCCCAAAGGGGAAACCACAUCUCUGCGGCGAUCCGGCCCAUGUCAAGCCUUGGUAAGGUUCUUCGCGUUGCAUCGAAUUAAUCCGCAUGCUCCGCCGCUUGUGCGGGCCCCCGUCAAUUCCUUUGAGUUUUAAUCUUGCGACCGUACUCCCCAGGCGGGAUACUUAAAGCGUUAACUGCGCCACUGACCAGCAAGCUGGCCAACGGCUAGCAUCCAUCGUUUACGGCGUGGACUAC
rnacentral:misc_RNA from 1 species